CGGCGACAGCUCUGCGCCGCGGCCCCCGGAACUGUCCGACCCAGCGGGAGCGCGGGCUGAGCGGCUGGUAGCGGGCUCCACGCUCAGCGCCUGCGCGCCCGGCCUCGCCCAGUGGUCCCCUCGAGGAAGGUGCAGUGAUGACUCUAUCUUAGGGAAGCUCUGCUGCUGUACAACCGAGGAAGAAGGGUUUCCAUGCUGGAGGGCUUGACUUCUGACCUGUGCUUAACUGGCCUAAUUCUCUGACUCCCUGAGUAUUUAACUCACUACUGCCUUGCAGACCAAGAUCAUUUGGGUUCAAACUGUAGUUCUAAAUACUUCUCCACUUUGACCUUUGCCACAAUGUUGGAUUUACCGUGUUGAUAAACGUCUUAAUGCUUCGUUUUGACUGAAGAACAUUGUGUUCCAGGCACUCUAUUGUGCUUUGUUCUGUUGAACUGUGUAAGACUCCUAUGAGGGAGAAAAAAAAAAAUAACACCGUCUUACAGAUGAAGAGAAGCAGUGAGUUGGGGAUGUGCUAAACCACUGUGGGCAGAGCCAUGGCUGUCUGGGCUUGUCUGUUCUUUCCAAAGUUCUUCGUGGGCUCCCUUGUGAGGUUCACAGGCAAAUGUGGACGAAAGUACAUGCUUUCCUCAAAGUGGAAAUCUCACCCUCGUCAUCUUUCGGCACCUUCUAGUACUUUCCAGAAUGUGCCCUGGAAGACCCCUCAGUUCAUAGAGCACUUGCCUGUGUGUUCUGUGAAGCAGUCACUGUCACCAGGCUUUCAGGGUUACUCUCAAAUUAGUCACCUUGAAGAGAGGCUCCCAGGUGCCCAGGGCAAUGUCCCCAGUUAGUUCCUUGGGCAGCUGAGGAUAGGGAACCUCAAAUGACCCUAUCCUAUAGCCAUACUGAUGAAUAUCUUGCAUAUCACCAUAGAACCUUCAUCUAGCGAUGGAUAGAGAUAGAGACAGAGACCCACACUGGAGCAUCGGACUAAGCUCCCAAAGUCCCAAUGAGGAGCAGAAGGA